UUUUCACCGUGCUGUUCUCGUGAUAGUGAGUGAGUUCUCACAGAUCUGAUAGUUUUAUAAGGGGCUUUCCCCCUUUUGCUUGGCACUUCUCUUUCCUGCUGCCAUGUGAAGAAGGAUGUAUUUGCUUCUCCUUCUGCCAUGAUCCUAGGAUUUAGAACCUGGACCUGGACGCCUCACUGCUUCCUGCUUCCUUAGUGCCUUGUGGCCUGGAGUCAGAAUAAUCUAGCUCAAACUUGGGAGUCAAAUGCUCCAGGGUCUUGAACUGGUCAGAGCUCUCAAUGCCGCAAAGACACUUUCAGAAGAGGAACGAAGGCCUGGAAGGAAAAGCAUCAGGGGAACGACGCUUACGUCUCUCCUCCUCCCUCCGGUCUCCCACCAGUGCUCCCAUUGGCUGAAGCCAACCAGAAGCCACAGGAAGCCCACUGUCUGUUCAGAUUUCUGACCCUUGGAAAACUGCAGAGCUCAAUGAUUAAAUGAAUGGACUUUGGAGCCAGGUGACCCUGGAUUCCAAUCCUGUCUCCACCACUCCAGGCUCUGAGACCUGGGCCAGUCACUCUGCCCUUCUGGCUUUAGCGUCUCCAUUUGUAAAACAGCACAGAGUGCCAGGCAGGUCAGACUGAAUGACAGACAGAAGGGACUUAGCGUCUUCUAUGCACUGGAUUAUGUUCCCCUAAAAUUCAUAUACGGAAGCCCUAACCCCCAGUGUGAUGGGAUUUGGAGAUGGGGCCUUUGGAAGGUGCUUAUAGCUAGGUGAGGGUAUGAGGGUGGGGCCCUCAUGAUGGGAUUAGCGCCCUUAUAAGAAGAGACACCAAAGAGCUUGCACACAUGUGCUCUCUCUCUCUCUCUCUCUCUCUCUCUCACACACACACACACACACUCUCUCUCUCUCUCCCAUGCACAAAGAAGAGGUCAUGUUGGCCAGGUGCAGUGGCUCAUGCCUGUAAUCCCAGCACUUUAGGAGGCUGAGGCAGGAGGAUCGCUUGUGCCCAGGAGUUCAAGACCAGCCUGGGCAACAUAAUGAGACCUUGUCUCUACAAGAAUUGUUUACAAAAUUAGCUGGGCAUCGUGGUGCAUACCUGUAGUCCCAGCCAUUUGGGAAGCUGGGGUGGGAGGCUCACUUGAGCUCAGGAGGUCAAGGCUGCAGCAAGCUGUGACCAUGCCAUUGCACUCCAGCCUGGGUGACAGAGGAAGACUCUGUUUCAAAAAAAAAAAGAAAAGAAAAAGAAAAGGUGAUAUGGGCACACAACGAGAUGGCCACCACGUGUAAGCCAAAAGAAGAGGCUUCAGGAUGAAACCUACCUUGCCAGCACCUUGAUCUUGGACACCCCAUCCUCCAUAAUUGUGAGAAAUUCUUCUUGGGUUAAGCCACCCAGUCUAUGGUAUUUCAUUAUGGCAGCCUGAGCUAGGGCAGCAUAGCUGCAGGAGCAGUGAUGGCAUGCACUUCUGAAGCCUCUGGUUCAUGUCCAUCAUUAGGUUCGGUCAGGCACCAAUCAGUCAGGGAGCUGCAACCACCCCUGUCUGCACUUCCCCAAGGAGUGACUGACCCUCCAGGGCCCAUCUGCUCCCAGCUCCUCCACCUCAUCUGCCAAUUGUUACCAGACUCCCUGUGCACAGCCCUGAGCUGACGGGGGAUCUUGAACCCAGGUUUGUUCCCGUGUGUGUACCCUGAUCUAGGGGAAGCAUCCAGUGGAAGCUGCUGCUUGGCCUCCAGGCCCCAAAGAUAUGAUACAGAUGCCUGCAGCCUUGCCCACCACUACCACUCAUCUAAGGAAUGUGUCCAGAACCUACAGACUCUGUGUAUGUGUCCAUGAAACAAAAGGCUGAAUUAUUUCCUGAUGUUUCACUUCAGACUGAGGUUUGCUGCAAAAGAUGAAGGGAGACAGAAAGAGAUUCACCCACAGAAGUGAGACUUCAUUUCUGGAGGGGGAGAGGCCAGGGAAUGGGUGACCCUCCAGAAGGAUGAGCUAGAAAAACAGGGUCUCCCAAUAAGCAGGUGUGCAGAGCACAGCAACAGGAAACUCAUGCAGCAGGCAUGAAUGAAUGAAGGGCCUGCUGUUUACCAGUCCCUGCAGGCACUCUGGGAUAUAGACAGGCCACAGGCCAUGGGGGCUUAGUGGUCCACAACCCCAGGUGCAACCCAGCCCCUCCACUUAGCAUCUGCUCGAGGCCAAAAACAGCUGCUGUUAUUUCUGCCCGCAUCCGUUUUCUAUCCCUCUGGGAACCAUACCCCUGUUGUCCUCUGGGGAUCCAUCCCAUUGGUUCACAUGUUCCCAGAGAAGCUGAUAAGUUCCAGGGGAGGAGCCCAUGAUGCCUCUCACCCCAAGCCAAUCAGUAACUCCAACGCUCCCAGCCAUGGUGGGUACAGGCAUGUGACCAGUUCAGAACACUGGUCACAUUCCUGACACGAGCAAAUUCACUGGACCUGAAACCAGAGAGGAAGUAGGAACUAGAACGCCUGUCUCCAUCUGGCCACAAAAUGGAGCCUGAAAUUGAAGUGAACACAACAGAAGCAAGAGCCAGAGAUGAGAAACCAAGGCUUCUCUGGGUCAGCGGUGCCUGAAACAGAUGCAUCCCCAGGCCUCUCCGUUCACUGAGUAAAUGACCUUUUUUUUGUGAGACGGAGUCUCGCUCUGUCGCCCAGGCUGGAGUGCAGUGGCAGCAAUCUCGGCUCACUGCAAGCUCCACCUCCCAGGUUCACACCAUUUUCCUGCCUCAGCCUCCCGAGUAGCUGGGACUAAAGGCACCCGCCACCACGCCUGGCUAAUUGUUUUUUAUAUUUUUUAGUAGAGAUGGGGUUUCACCGUGUUAG
rnacentral:lncRNA from 1 species